rnacentral:pre_miRNA from 1 species
ACUGAACUCUCGUGGGUCUGCAGUUGAUAUUUCGAAAGCUUGUAGCACCAUGAGAUUCAGCUC